GUGCGGUCGUUCGCUCCGUCGUCACUUGAUCCCUGGCUGUCGACGAGAGCGGACGCUCCGUCGCAGCGGGGAAAAAAGAGCUACGAUGCUGGCGCCAUCUGGUGUGAUGCCUUGGAACUAGCGUGCCACCUGCCUCUGCAACCGUCGUGCUCCAGUCGCCCGCACAGGCGGGAUUUCUUCAAGAUGGCGUCGUUGAUUUUCAAAUAAAUCAUUUCCUACUGUCUG